UCGGGAUAACAACCUGGAAACAGAUGCUAAUACCGGAUAACAACAGAUGAUGCCUAUCAACUGUUUAAAAGAUGGUUCUGCUAUCACUCUUGGAUGGACCUGCGGUGCAUUAGCUAGUUGGUAGGGUAACGGCCUACCAAGGCGAUGAUGCAUAGCCGAGUUGAGAGACUGAUCGGCCACAUUGGGACUGAGACACGGCCCAAACUCCUACGGGAGGCAGCAGUA
rnacentral:rRNA from 1 species